rnacentral:rRNA from 1 species
GAUGAACGCUGGCGGCGUGCUUAACACAUGCAAGUCGAACGGACUUUACGUGAAGCCUAGCGAUUGUAAAGUUAGUGGCGGACGGGUGAGUAACGCGUGAAUAACCUGCCCUGUACCGGGGGACAACAGUUGGAAACGGCUGCUAAUACCGCAUAAGCGCACGGUUCCGCAUGGAACAGUGUGAAAAACUCCGGUGGUACAGGAUGGAUUCGCGUCUGAUUAGCCAGUUGGUGGGGUAACGGCCUACCAAAGCAACGAUCAGUAGCCGGCCUGAGAGGGUGAACGGCCACAUUGGGACUGAGACACGGCCCAAACUCCUACGGGAGGCAGCAGUGGGGAAUAUUGCACAAUGGGGGAAACCCUGAUGCAGCGACGCCGCGUGAGUGAAGAAGUUAUUCGUAACGUAAAGCUCUAUCAGCAGGGAAGAAAAUGACGGUACCUGACUAAGAAGCCCCGGCUAACUACGUGCCAGCAGCCGCGGUAAUACGUAGGGGGCAAGCGUUAUCCGGAUUUACUGGGUGUAAAGGGAGCGUAGACGGCACAGCAAGUCUGAUGUGAAAGCCCGGGGCCCAACCCCGGAACUGCAUUGGAAACUGCUGGGCUUGAGUGCAGGAGAGGUAAGCGGAAUUCCUAGUGUAGCGGUGAAAUGCGUAGAUAUUAGGAGGAACACCAGUGGCGAAGGCGGCUUACUGGACUGUAACUGACGUUGAGGCUCGAAAGCGUGGGGAGCAAACAGGAUGAGAUACCCUGGUAGUCCACGCCGUAA